AGAACGAACGCUGGCGGCGUGCUUAACACAUGCAAGUCGAGCGAGGCUCUCUCCUUCGGGAGGGAUGCCCUAGCGGCGAACGGGUGAGUAACACGUGGGCAACCUGCCCCUAGCACUGGGAUAACUCCGGGAAACCGGGGCUAAUACCGGAUACGACCUCUGAGGGCAUCCUCCGGAGGUGGAAAGCAUUGUGGCUAGGGGAUGGGCCCGCGGCCUAUCAGCUUGUUGGUGAGGUAACGGCCCACCAAGGCGACGACGGGUAGCCGGCCUGAGAGGGCGACCGGCCACACUGGGACUGAGACACGGCCCAGACUCCUACGGGAGGCAGCAGUGGGGAAUAUUGCACAAUGGGCGAAAGCCUGAUGCAGCGACGCCGCGUGAGGGAUGACUGCCUUCGGGUUGUAAACCUCUUUCAGCAGGGACGAAGCGAAAGUGACGGUACCUGCAGAAGAAGCACCGGCCAACUACGCGCCAGCAGCCGCGGU
rnacentral:rRNA from 1 species